CUUAAAUGUAGAGUGCAUGAUGUGGAAACAUGUCUUCCCUUCGGGGCUCUCUGCAAGGUGCUGCAUGGUUGUCGUCAGCUCGUGCCGUGAGGUGUCGGGUUAAGUCCCAUAACGAGCGCAACCCUUAUCGUUAGUUGCCAGCGGGUAAUGCCGGGAACUCUAACGAAACUGCCGGUGUAAACCGAGAGGAAGGUGGGAUUGACGUCAAAUCAGCACGGCCCUUAUGUCCAGGGCUACACACGUGUUACAAUGGCCGGUACAGAGGGCAGCUACCUGGAGACAGGAUGCGAAUCUCGAAAGCCGGUCUCAGUUCGGAUCGGAGUCUGCAACUCGACUCCGUGAAGCUGGAUUCGCUAGUAAUCGCGCAUCAGCCAUGGCGCGGUGAAUACGUUCCCGGGCCUU
rnacentral:rRNA from 1 species